rnacentral:lncRNA from 1 species
GGGAUUCCAUGGGGGGAUCCAUAGGAGAUCUGUGGGGAUCUAUAGGGGGCUCACAUAUGAUCUAUGGGGGGAUCCGGGGAGGAAUCUAUAGGUGAUUCCAUAGGGGAUCUGUGGGGGAAAUCUAUGGGUGAUCCAUAGGGGAUCUGUGGGGGAUUCUGGGAUUCCAUGGGGGGAUCCAUAGGGGAUCCAGAGCUGAUCUAUAGGGGAUCCAUAGGGGAUCCAUAGGCCCUGUCCCCCAGCGGGGGGCGCUGUCCCGUGCGCCGCCCCCGGGGCCGAGGCCACAGCAAGGCCGGGGUCACCUACGGCCGGGGAACCUAUAGAACCCCGGCACACGCCGGCCCCUACACACCCUAUAGGGGAUCUACACAUCCUAUAGGGGAUCUGUAUAUCCUAUAGGGCAUGGGAACCUAUAGAAUCUCUAGGGGAACCUAUAGAGCCCAUAGGGGAACCCUGUCCAUCCUAAAAUCUCAAAUCCCCUUUAGAAAAUCCCAGUUCCCCUAUGGAAAAUCCCAGUUCCCCUAUAGAAAAUCCCAGUUCCCCUAUAGAAAAUCCCAAAUUCCCUAUGGAAAAUCCCAGUUCCCCUAUGGAAAAUCCCAGUUCCCCUAUGGAAAAUCCCAGUUUCCCUAUAGAAAAUCCCAGUUCCCCUAUGGAAAAUCCCCUAUGGAAAACCCAGUUCCCCUAUGGAAAAUCCCAGUUCCCCUAUGGAAAAUCCCCUAUGGAAAACCCAGUUCCCCUAUAGAAAAUCCCCUAUGGAAAAUCCCAGUUCCCCUAUAGAAAAUCCCAGUUCCCCUGUAGAAAAUCCCAGUUCCCCUAUGGAAAAUCCCAGUUCCCCUAUAGAAAAUCCCCUAUGGAAAAUCCCAGUUCCCCUAUAGAAAGUUCCAGAUUCCUGUGGCCGAAGCUCCCGGAUCAGAGCCCAGGUGCGCCGCCCCCUCCCCUCCGAAGAACCCAGCGCCGCCAAACGCCUCCUGCUCCUCCUGCUGGCCGUGGUGGGCACCCAAAUCUACAACGCGCCGGGAGACGACGGCGCCGCCGGUUUGGGGACCAGAACGGACUUGGGGACAACUCUGGGGACAAAUUUGACAACGAGGACAAUCCCAGUUCUGGAGGAACCCCAAAUUCCGGCCUGGAACGCCAACGGAACCGCGGGUGGCGCCUGUCCCGCUUUCCUGUGGGUGUCACCCCCUUUGUCACCAGCUGGAGGCGCCAGGACGCGCUGAGGGACAAUCCCAGAAUCCUCCUGGGUUAAUUAACGAGGUCGUUAAUUAACAAGGCCGUUAAUUACGGCGGAAGAGCCGGGAGAAGGCGGCGACGUCGAACGAGCCCAGUUUGGAACUGGGAGGACUGGAAAGGGGAGGAACCAUGAAUUGAGGGGGGGUUGUUCCCAUUCCCUAAUUAAUUAGCUCAUUAAUUACCCCUUAAUUAGCUGGUUAAUUAAUGAGCAACUCAUUAAUUAGCCCCCAAGGUUGACUGGUUAAUGGUGGGACCAGUCCCAGUCGGGAACUGGGAGCACUGGGAAAGGGGGCGUGGUCAGGAUGGGCCUCGUUAAUGAGGUUUAAUUAACGAGGUUUGAAUUAUUUAUUAUUUAUUUAUUACUUAUUUAUUAUUUAUUUAUAUUUAUUUAUAUUUAAUUAUUUAUUUGCUGUUUGUGAGCAUUUGUUUAUUUAUUUGUUAUAAUUUAUUGAUUAAAUAUUUAUUAAUUAAUUAAUUUAAUUAAUUGUCUCCGGAUGAUUCCUUUCCCAAUUUCCCGUGGUCUGGAGGGUGAACUGGGAGCACUGGUUUGUACUGGGAGCACUGGGAAUCAUCCCAGUCCCAUCCCAGUAAAAUCCCAGUAUCCCCAGUAACUCCCAGUAUUAUUUUGGGGUAAAUAAAUAAUUUUGGAGUAAAAUAAAGGAAUAAAAAUCCCAAAUUUUUGGCAUUUUCAACACAAAUAUUUUUAUUUUAUUUUUUUUUAUUUACGGAUUUUUAUUGAAAAUACAAAGUCACAAAAGUAACAAAAAACUAAAAAAAAAAAAUUUACAUUAUUUCCUAAAAAAAAAAAAAAAGUUAAAAACCGCCAGAAAAUCCAAAAUAAAAUUGAAAAUAAAAUUGAUAAUAAAAACCAAAAUAAAAUCCAAUCCUUCCUCUCAAACUCACAUUUGCAUUCAGGACCCAAAUUUGGGAAUUUUUUUCCCAAAUUCCAUUUUUUUUCCUCUAAAUUUUUAUUUUUCCCCAAAUUUUGAGGAUUUUUCCCCAAACUUUGAGGAUUUUUCCCCCAAAUUCCAAGGCUUUUCCCAAAUUUUGAAGAAUUUUUCCCACAAUUUUCAGGCCUUUUUUCAUAGAAUUUUAAUUUUUUUCCCCCAAAUUUUCAGAUUAUUUCCCCAAUUUUUGGUUUUUUUUCCCCCAAUUUUUGGGAGUUUUUUCCCAAAUUUUGGGGUUUUUUUCCCAAAUUUUUAGGUUUUUAUCCCAAAUUUUUGGGUUUUUAUCCCAAAUAUUUGCGAUUUUCUCCCGAAAUUUUGGAAUCCGCGCGUUGGGAAGCGCCCCCAGUGUUGGGUUUGGCCAAUCCCAGUUGGGCACUGGGAGCACUGGGAGGAGCCCAGCAAUGAGCAGGAAUUCCCCAGCCUGUCAUUAAUUAGCCAAUUAAUCAUCCCCUAAUUAAUUAGAGAUCGUUAAUGAGCAACAAAAAUUGAACGGGACCAAGGUUUGGUUUUGGGUUGGCCAAUCCCAGUUGGGCACUGGGAGCACUGGGAGCACUGGGAACUCACCGGAACCAUGGAAUGAUGGGAAUUCCUCAUCUCCCCACUUAAUUAAUGAAUGAAUCCAUCCCUAAUUAAUUAGAGAUUGUUAAUUAGUCACCAAAUUUGAAUUGGAACAAAUGGAUACCAAACCAAUGUUGGGUUUUGGGUUGGCCAAUCCCAGUUGAGCACUGGGAGCACUGGGAGCACUGGGAACUCACCGGAACCAUGGAAUGAUGGGAAUUCCUCAUCUCCCAACUUAAUUAAUGAAUGAAUCCAUCCCUAAUUAAUUACAGAUUGUUAAUUAGCCACUAAAUUUGAAUGGGAACAAAUGGAGACCAAACUCAACAUUGGGUUUUGGGUUGGCCAAUCCCAGUUGGGCACUGGGAGCCCUGGGAGCACUGGGAACUCACCGGAACCACGGAAUGCUGGGAAUCCCUCGUCUCCCAACUUAAUUAAUGAAUGAAUCCAUCCCUAAUUAAUUAGAGAUUGU